rnacentral:rRNA from 1 species
CAGUAGCCGCGGUAAUACGAAGGGUGCAAGCGUUACUCGGAAUUACUGGGCGUAAAGCGUGCGUAGGUGGUGGUUUAAGUCCGUUGUGAAAGCCCUGGGCUCAACCUGGGAAUUGCAGUGGAUACUGGGUCACUAGAGUGUGGUAGAGGAUAGUGGAAUUUCCCGUGUAGCAGUGAAAUGCGUAGAGAUCGGAAGGAACAUCUGUGGCGAAGGCGACCACCUGGACUGAUACUGACACUGAGGUGCGAAAGCGUGGGGAGCAAACAGGAUUAGAUACCCCCGUAGUCCCUGUCUCUUAUAA